GAUGAACGCUGGCGGCGUGCCUAAUACAUGCAAGUCGAGCGAACAGACGAGGAGCUUGCUCCUCUGACGUUAGCGGCGGACGGGUGAGUAACACGUGGAUAACCUACCUAUAAGACUGGGAUAACUUCGGGAAACCGGAGCUAAUACCGGAUAAUAUAUUGAACCGCAUGGUUCAAUAGUGAAAGACGGUUUUGCUGUCACUUAUAGAUGGAUCCGCGCCGCAUUAGCCAGUUGGUAAGGUAACGGCUUACCAAGGCAACGAUGCGUAGCCGACCUGAGAGGGUGAUCGGCCACACUGGAACUGAGACACGGUCCAGACUCCUACGGGAGGCAGCAGUAGGGAAUCUUCCGCAAUGGGCGAAAGCCUGACGGAGCAACGCCGCGUGAGUGGUGAAGGUCUUCGGAUCGUAAAACUCUGUUAUUAGGGAAGAACAAAUGUGUAAGUAACUAUGCACGUCUUGACGGUACCUAAUCAGAAAGCCACGGCUAACUACGUG
rnacentral:rRNA from 1 species